UACGUAGGGGGCUAGCGUUGUCCGGAAUCAUUGGGCGUAAAGCGCGUGUAGGCGGUCCGGUAAGUCCGCUGUGAAAGUCGGGGGCUCAACCCUCGAAUGCCGGUGGAUACUGUCGGGCUAGAGUGCGGAAGAGGCGAGUGGAAUUCCUGGUGUAGCGGUGAAAUGCGCAGAUAUCAGGAGGAACACCAAUUGCGAAGGCAGCUCGCUGGGACGUUACUGACGCUGAGACGCGAAAGCGUGGGAGCAAACAGG
rnacentral:rRNA from 1 species